AACAAGUCGCCCGCAAGUGUGCAUAAAUAUGUAAAAAUUAAAUAAUGUGUAAACAGCCGCAAACACAGGCCUCUCUAUAUAGAGAACUUCUGGGUGGAAUCGUACAGAGCUAGGGCUGGAGCUAGCCCAAAGAUCAGAGGAGUAAGGCGGGCUGGGGACCGGCGAUCAGCUUGAUUGGGUGUGUGCCUGUUCUUCAAUUGUUGUCAAUAGCCGGACGACUAUUUAUAAAGCCCUCAACGGCUGCACCAAGGCGGUAUCUGUCCGAAGAUCUGGCUGAACGACUAAAGACCUAAUCAGCCCGGAGGCACGUCGCAUUGCAAAUAAGUAUCGCUCCAUUGGAGAGCAAUCGAGUGGAGUCAACUACAGUGGAUCGCAAAUGAAAAUCUAAAAAGAUUUGACAUGGUUCCUACUGUUUUCGGUACUUUGGAGAUACAAUGGUUGUAUUUUUUGAAGAGAUAUCAUAUCCUAAAAUUCGAUCGUUGCUUAGUAUCUAAGAAUAAAAAUAAUGAAUUGACCAUAUGGCUUACUUUUUCAUAGGUUUAAAGAAGUCCAAAAGAGGCCUACUCAUAAAUACUGUUAUAAUUUAUUAUAAACUUUCAUAGCAAGGAACCCAAUACAUUUCAAACUUCCCAUAUUCACUGUACCAGAAAAAGGAGUGUCUUCCUAACAAAGAAACAAGUCGUUGCCCUGUAAAAUCCACUUCAGAAACUGAUGAUUCUACCAUCAGUUUAUCAAAAAAUGUCCAAUCAAACAUGCGUCCAUACGACCUCGAGCGAUGCUCCCCCUUUCGACCGCCCACACUUGUCUGAUUUCUCGCACGCUUUCCGUUCUGUUCUAAAUAUAAAAUUUGGCCUAUUUGUUGGUCAGCUUUAAUUGUUAUCAAUUGCGUAAAUAAACGCUCAGACAAUAAAAAAAGAGACCGUUUUAGCAUUUCUCUCGUUUAUCGAAUGGUCUCUCACGUUCUCCCUCACAAAUAUUCUGCGCAUUUAAUUAUGAUUUUUUGCCAAAUCAUUUCUUUUUGAUGGACGAGAGACGUGUGUGCUGAAGACGCAGGUGCAAGUCGAUAAGGUGAUGACGACAAUGGGAAUUAUAUGAAAUUCCUCUACCCCAUUUCAUCAGCGGCUAGACAAAUGUUAGCGACACAAAUCAACUUAUGUAAAAUAACCUGAUCCGAAUGAAAUAAACUAGGGAAAUACA